rnacentral:misc_RNA from 1 species
AAUUCUCAACUUCACCAACUUUUGUUGUUGAAGCUUGGAUGUGGGGGUUUUGCAGGUCUGCCUUAAUUGUGUGGUCUGCUCUCCUGAAAUAUAUUAGCGGGUUGGCUUCCCUCUAUCAGUGUGAUAAUUAUCUACGCUGUGGAUGGGUUUGGCUUUCAGACCAGCUUCUAAUCGUCCUUCUAGGACAAUCUCUUGACAU